rnacentral:rRNA from 1 species
GUGCCAGCAGCCGCGGUAAUACGAAGGGGGCUAGCGUUGUUCGGAUUUACUGGGCGUAAAGCGCAUGUAGGCGGGUCGUUAAGUUGGGGGUGAAAGCCCGAGGCUCAACCUCGGAAUUGCCUUCAAAACUGGCGACCUGGAGCAUGAUAGAGGCGAGUGGAAUUCCGAGUGUAGAGGUGAAAUUCGUAGAUAUUCGGAGGAACACCAGUGGCGAAGGCGACUCGCUGGAUCAUUGCUGACGCUGAGAUGCGAAAGCGUGGGGAGCAAACAGGAUUAGAAACCCUGGUAGUCC